rnacentral:lncRNA from 1 species
ACCAACAACUUGCUAGAAGUAGCAGCAAGCAAUCACAACCAUUUCUGACCAUAAGUCCAAAUACCAAAUCCGAACAUGAAUUUGACUUGAAGAUCUUGUAAAUUCCCAAGGAUUAUUUAUGCAUAAUACUUCCACCAAAAUAAUUACCAUCGAUUACCAUAAUUAGAAGACGGUCUGGAUCGUCUAUAGGGAAUGUUUUAAUGGAGACGAUCCAAUGUAAAUCUCAGCCAUCCAAUAUUUAUUAUAGAUAUAAACAGUACACUACAAAAAUGAAAUGAGUAGUUGUGAUGCCACUA